AUUUGAAAGAAAAGAUAACAGAACUGGGGCAGUUAAUUAAGCAAAAUAUGCAUGGAGCUCAUCAUUACAUGUCUGAAUAGCUCCAACAGCAGAUUUUCAGGGGCACGGUGUAAUGAGAAUUGGAAAAAAAAAACAAAAAAUGAAAACUAAGACAUUCAACCUAGACGGUGAGGGAAGAAAGCUGACUGACUGUUGAAUGACGCAGUUUCCUGUUAGAAAGUAACAAACACAGGGCAAAGAGUGACUUAAUAGGAUGAUCUUCAGUGGAUCAAAAGUAGCCCUGGCAUGGUUCACCUCUACAUCGAAGAUCAGACAAAGGAAGGACAGAGUCUGAUGGUUGUCUAUCGACAAAGGAACUAUGCCUUCAGCAAAGAAGGAAACAGACAAAGACAUGUCUAGAAAAAUAUAUGUUCAUUUCAACAUACAGAAAAAUGAAGUCUGCAGUCUGUGCUUAUAGUUUCACAUCUUUUUUUGCGUGUAUGUGUGUGUGUGGUUUAUUUCCCAGAUGGUAUUCCAGUCUCGGGUUUGAAACCACAGAAGCUCGCACACCCUCUUUGUAUCUUCAUGGUGUAGCUUUUGACUGUUUAAAACACGAUGUGUUUAAACUUCUGCUGCUGAUGCCGUAUUGUCGCGGGACUUCGUACUCGCAAAAAGUCAUGAACUACAACAUCGUAAACCGAACAAAAGGUGUUAUGCAUGAGCAGCUGUCAUCGGGGGGUGUCAUCAACCUGACCUCUUUUGGAUUAGUUAAUGAUUAUUUGUUUAUUAUGUAGUCGAGUUGUUGCGUGACACCUCGCGUGUAGCCAUUUUUUUUUAAAUGACAGAAAAAGCUGUAUGCAAAAGACCUCGCUAACGUGUAACUCAAAGCUGCUUUGUUUCAGUGAAGCCAAUCAUGUUCUUCUACUAUGUUUUGGACAGCAUCACUACAUAAAGUUAUUUUGUGCUUUUUUUAUUAUAUUAUACUAUAUUAUAAUUUCCUAUACUUUAUCUAGUCAUUAAUGUCGGUAACUGCACUAACAGCUGCAGGUCAUUUUCACAGGUGUUUGAUUUCAAAGGACUAAGGAAACAUUGUUGUAUUUCCGAACUCCCAUUGAACUACACUUUUAUACGUUUAUCAGCACGUUGGAGGCCAUAGCAGCUGUCACAGGGUGAGAGGUGGGGUACAUUCUGGAAAAACUGUCAGAAGCUUUUAAGAUAACUGUAGAUUUUGGAAUCACCUGUAAUUGUUUCUAAUUGAUUGCACAUUAGAAGCAGGUGAGUGUUAACAUAAAUGUUCAUUUAUACAUUUUUUGUAAUAAAGUGGAAUAAAAACACAUACUGGAGUCUUGUGAGAUUCAGUUUUUCAUAUUGUGACUUGUGAGAUGCUGUUUGUGGAUAUAGCUGUCUCUGCCUCUCUGCUGAAAAGUGAAUAAUUGUGCAGGUAUUCCUUCAGUUGUUUGGAUGAAACCUCAGUGAAUCAUUUGAAAGGCGUGAUUAUUGAUGC
ensembl:lncRNA